rnacentral:rRNA from 1 species
UACGGGGGGGGCAAGCGUUGUUCGGAAUUACUGGGCGUAAAGGGCUCGUAGGCGGCCAACUAAGUCGGAUGUGAAAUCCCCAGGCUUAACCUGGGAACUGCAUCCGAUACUGGAUGGCUUGAAUCCGGGAGAGGGAUGCAGAAUUCCAAGUGUAGCGGUGAAAUGCGUAGAUAUCUGGAGGAAUACCGGUGGCGAAGGCGGCAUCCUGGACCGGCAUUGACGCUGAUGAGCGAAAGCUAGGGGAGCAAACGGG